GAUGAACGCUGGCGGCGUGCCUAAUACAUGCAAGUCGAGCGAACAGACGAGGAGCUUGCUCCUCUGACGUUAGUGGCGGACGGGUGAGUAACACGUGGAUAACCUACCUAUAAGACUGGGAUAACUUCGGGAAACCGGAGCUAAUACCGGAUAAUAUAUUGAACCGCAUGGUUCAAUAGUGAAAGACGGUUUUGCUGUCACUUAUAGAUGGAUCCGCGCCGCAUUAGCUAGUUGGUAAGGUAACGGCUUACCAAGGCGACGAUGCGUAGCCGACCUGAGAGGGUGAUCGGCCACACUGGAACUGAGACACGGUCCAGACUCCUACGGGAGGCAGCAGUAGGGAAUCUUCCGCAAUGGGCGAAAGCCUGACGGAGCAACGCCGCGUGAGUGAUGAAGGUCUUCGGAUCGUAAAACUCUGUUAUUAGGGAAGAACAAAUGUGUAAGUAACUAUGCACGUCUUGACGGUACCUAAUCAGAAAGCCACGGCUAACUACGUG
rnacentral:rRNA from 1 species